rnacentral:rRNA from 1 species
AUGGGGAUGGGGAUGGCACUUGCUCCACGCUCGUCUCUGUCUCUGCGCUCCCUGCUGCUGCUCAUGCCGCACAGGAAGCCACAUCGGAGCUCUUUCUUCUCCUCCUCCGCCGCGGUUCCGCCUGCGGCUCCAGGAACUGCCAUUCCGGCUUCUGAUCCUGCCGUUCAGCCUCCAGCCGCUCCAGAUCCUGAUCUUGCAGUUCCUGAAGGUCCGCGCGGAUCUAGCCGCGAUGGUCCGCCACGCCAACCUCCUGGAACUAUGGAUAUAGACGCUGAAGACCCCGGCAAGAAGACUCUCUAA